UAGGGAAUAUUAGUAAUGGGCGAAAGCCUGAACUAGCAACGCCGCGUGUGCGAAGAAGGCCUUCAGGUUGUAAAGCACUUUUUGAGAGGAUGAGGAAGGACGGUACUCUCAGAAUAAGUCUCGGCUAACUACGUGCCAGCAGCCGCGGUAACACGUAGGAGGCGAACGUUAUCCGGAUUUACUGGGCGUAAAGCGCGUGUAGGUGGUUUGGUAAGUAGGGCGUGAAAGCUCCUGGCUCAACUGGGAGAGGCCGUUCUAAACUGCCGAGAUAGAGGAUGGGAGAGAGAGGUAGAAUUCGGGGUGGAGCGGGCGAAUGCGCAGAUAGACGGAGGAACCCCAGUAGCGCAGGCGGACUC
rnacentral:rRNA from 1 species